rnacentral:rRNA from 1 species
GAUGAACGCUGGCGGCGUGCCUAAUACAUGCAAGUCGAGCGAACAGACGAGGAGCUUGCUCCUCUGACGUUAGUGGCGGACGGGUGAGUAACACGUGGAUAACCUACCUAUAAGACUGGGAUAACUUCGGGAAACCGGAGCUAAUACCGGAUAAUAUAUUGAACCGCAUGGUUCAAUAGUGAAAGACGGUUUUGCUGUCACUUAUAGAUGGAUCCGCGCCGCAUUAGCUAGUUGGUAAGGUAACGGCUUACCAAGGCAACGAUGCGUAGCCGACCUGAGAGGGUGAUCGGCCACACUGGAACUGAGACACGGUCCAGACUCCUACGGGAGGCAGCAGUAGGGAAUCUUCCGCAAAGGGCGAAAGCCUGACGGAGCAACGCCGCGUGAGUGAUGAAGGUCUUCGGAUCGUAAAACUCUGUUAUUAGGGAAGAACAAAUGUGUAAGUAACUAUGCACGUCUUGACGGUACCUAAUCAGAAAGCCACGGCUAACUACGUG